CAGAGAGUAGUUUAAGAAGAAUUUCAGCUUUGGGUGCUGAUGGUGGGACUUUGGGUCUCCUCUUUGA
rnacentral:tRNA from 1 species